GAGAGGAGCACGGUUUAAUUGUAUAUUGUCAAGAAUUGCUGAAAUUAAAUCUAAGAGUACAAUAUGUUGACAGAUUAUCGCCACUUGUACUUUACUACCUCGUACACUAUAAAGAUGCAAAGGACAUAUUGCAGUAAUCAACUGGGAAGUAUAUGUUUGUCAUGCCAUGGCUUAUGGAUGCUAUUUAACAUUAAGAAUGCAUACCACCCAACUGUCCUUAUUUAGGAGGGACAAUCCCUAUUUUGGACCCAUAUUUUUGUUGUUGUUGUGUCUGAGUGUAUAACUGAGCUCCGCAGCAAUAAUACUCACAGUAAUGUGUCUUUUAACUAAAAUAAAUGUGGUUAACAAUCGGUCUGUGUAAAUAAGAUACAUUGUUCUUAUUGUAAACUACUUAUUAGUAAGUCACCUAAAAUUUCACAGAACUGACCCAAACCUAGCCACACCCCUAAAAUUGAAGUGUCCCUCUUUGUCCGUUUGAAAUGUUGGGAGGUAUGUAAUGACAUGAACAGGGUUAUUCACUUAAAUCAGAAUUGCUGGGAAUUCUAAGUGAAUAAAAAAAUGUUAUACUAAUAUAGCCAAACUAGAAGCAUAGCUGACUUGGAGAAUUUUUCCAAUUCAGUUUUUUUGUCCUUAAAGGGACACUGUAGGCAGAGUGCCUGCUUCAUCUCAUUAAACUGGUUAUAGCAUCUGGAG